rnacentral:rRNA from 1 species
UACGGGAGGCAGCAGUGGGGAAUCUUGCACAAUGGAGGAAACUCUGAUGCAGCGAUGCCGCGUGAGUGAAGAAGGCCCUUGGGUUGUAAAGCUCUUUCGUCGGGGAAGAAAAUGACUGUACCCGAAUAAGAAGGUCCGGCUAACUUCGUGCCAGCAGCCGCGGUAAUACGAAGGGACCUAGCGUAGUUCGGAAUUACUGGGCUUAAAGAGUUCGUAGGUUGUUGAAAUAGUUGGUGGUGAAAUCCCAGAGCUUAACUCUGGAACUGCCAUCAAAACUUUUCAGCUAGAGUAUGAUAGAGGAAAGCAGAAUUUCUAGUGUAGAGGUGAAAUUCGUAGAUAUUAGAAAGAAUACCAAAUGCGAAGGCAGCUUUCUGGAUCAUUACUGACACUGAGGAACGAAAGCAUGGGUAGCGAAGAGGAUUAGAUACCCUCGUAGUCCAUGCCGUAAACGAUGUGUGUUAGACGUUGGAAAUUUAUUUUCAGUGUCGCAGGGAAACCGAUAAACACACCGCCUGGGGAGUACGACCGCAAGGUUAAAACUCAAAUGAAUUGACGGGGACCCGCACAAGUAGUGGAGCAUGUGGUUUAAUUCGAAGAUACGCGCAGAACCUUACCAACACUUGACAUGUUCGUCGCGACUCUAAGAGAUUAGAGUUUUCGGUUCGGCCGGACGAAACACAGGUGCUGCAUGGCUGUCGUCAGCUCGUGUCGUGAGAUGUUGGGUUAAGUCCCGCAACGAGCGCAACCCUCACUUUUAGUUGCCAUCAUUAAGUUGGGCACUCUGAAAGAACUGCCAGUGAUAAGCUGGAGGAAGGUGGGGAUGACGUCAAGUCCUCAUGGCCCUUACGUGUUGGGCUACACACGUGCUACAAUGGUAUCUACAACAGGAAGCAAAACUGCGAAGUUAAGCAAAUCCCUAAAAGAUACCUCAGUUCG